CAUGUCUCCCUAAGGUGUGUAAAGAUCCUGCCCUUGAGUGUGGAUUACCCUCAGUGUUACUCCUUGAGGCUGAGAGAAAGGGAUUUGCCCACAGGCAAAUCAUGGGCUAAAUCAGAGACUCACAGGAGCUCCUAUAGAUUCCUUGGCUGAAUUACUGAAAAUGCAUCUCAGGACUCCGAGACCUGUGUAUGGUCAUGCACAGUCAAAUGAAAGAAGACCCUAAAAGUAAGCCAACUGCUGGAGGAGUGCUGUGGAUGCCUGAUGCUCCUUCUGUUACUCUCUGCUGUGGAACUGGGAGUAGUGAUGCAGAAACUGUUUUGGACUGA
rnacentral:lncRNA from 1 species